AUGGCCUGGACACCUCUCCUCCUCGUGCUCCUCUCUCAGUGCACAGGUUCCCUCUCGCAGCCUGUGCUGACCCAGCCGCCCUCCCUCUCUGCGUCUCCGGGAGCAACGGCCAGACUCACCUGCACCCUCAGCAGUGGCUUCAAUGUUGGCAGCUAUGCUAUAUCCUGCCGCUUCUCUGGGUCCAAAGACGCCUCGGCCAAUGCCCGGCUCCUGCUCAUCUCUGGGCUGCAGCCUGAGGACGAGGCCGACUAUUUCUGUGCUGCAGCUCAUGGCAGUGGGAGCAGCAUCAGUUUCUCACAGUCGCUCAGAUGA